rnacentral:lncRNA from 1 species
CCCACCUCAGCCUCCCAAAGUGCUGAGAUUACAGGCAUUAGCCACCACGCCUGGCCGGAAUCUCCAUCUUUAGCAGUCUAGCCAGAUGAUCCUAGUGCACACAAAAGCCUGAGGACAUGUGACCCUGAGCUAGGUAGGUCUCAACAAGCAACUACUGAGUGGAAAAUCCCCAGGUUGGGGUCCUGACCACUUCCUCCUCAGAGGUCAUGGAGCAGACGGCACCUGCAGUGUGUGCGUGGGUGGUGGUGGUGGGGGGGGGAGUUGGGAGGGGGACAUAAGAAUUUUCCCUUCCAAAAGAGGGGUGGGGAGCAUAGGGCUGGGGUGGGGUAUCCGGACUACACUCUGGAAGAGGGAUGACAGCUUCCUGAGUCAACGGAAACUUGGUAGCAAGAAAGCUGCAGAGGAGGCUGCCGGCAGUACAGGAUGCAGGGAGAACCCAGGCCUGGGGUUGAGGCCAGGAGACUCAAUUCCAGCUUUACUGUGUGCCUUUAGCAGGAAUGUCAUGGGUAGAAGCUGCUGGCGUGUCAUCUACAGCCUUGGAGGACAGGAUUGUGGCCAAGCAUGAGGAGGUUCCAGAAGUUUCAGUUCAGUAUGAAGAAAAAUUUCAGAACCAUCACAAACUGAUGAGGAAACUGAGGCAUGGAGAAGCCAAGCCACUCUUAAGGUCACUUAAUGGAUCUUCCAUGUAGUCAGGACUGAACCAGCAUCCAACCCAGAGCCCGGUGUGGUCGACCCACAAAUGUUUGCCAAGUUAGCCAUGCCCUUGUUGUCUACUGGUUGAUUUCAGAAUUACCCAAGCCUGCACCAGCCUCUUCCUUAUCAUUCACUUCUGUCACCUGGCUUGCUACAUGGAUGUGCUCAUGAAGGGCUGCUGAAUGACUGACCCACCAAGUACCUGUCACCUGAGGCCCAGCUUUGGCAGCUGUGCUGAGCCCCUUCUCAGAGGUCCUGCUUGGAACUAUGGAGCUAUAGCCACAGCCUUCGGGAAUGGAGAGUUCAGACAUCAUUCCUGGUCCCCAGGGAUGCUGAUACUGCGAGUCUGUGGAACACUCUUCGAGCAGCCCUGAGAUUAUCAGCCUUUAACCCCCGGGGGGAGGAAGCCGAAGGCCCAGAGAGGUCAAGUCACUUGUCCAUGGCCACACAGCGAACAGCCCCAGACCGAAAGCAGAGGGCACCUGCCACAGACACACGACAUCUCCCCACCCGAGGCAGCGGGAAUCAGCUGCCUUUCCCUGGCCCGGGUGCCGUGUUUGUAAACUCGGCUGCUUGGUGCGGCUCGGGCCGGGGUAAAGGGCGCCUCCCAGCAGAGCCUCCCUCGUCUCUGAGCUGGCCUCUCCAGGUUCUCCGUCCGGUAUCCCGGGCCGACCAGAGAGAGCCCGGGGCGCCGAGUCCUCUGCGGCGGAGCGAUUCCGCACUCCCCUCUCCUCUGAAAGCAAACUUCUCCGCCGGCGCC